rnacentral:rRNA from 1 species
CUUAAACACUAAAAAUUAUUCAUCAACAUUAAAAAUCUUUACAAAACCCCAACAACUCGAAUUAAAACAUUUUACCGCCCAAGUAUGUGAGACAGAAAAGGCACACUAAAGCUAUAGAAAAAGUACCGCAAGGGAACGCUGAAAGAGAAAUGAAAUAAAUCAUUAAAGUCCCACAAAGCAGAGACUAAACCUC